UACGAAGGGUGCUAGCGUUGUUCGGAAUUACUGGGCGUAAAGAGCGCGUAGGCGGUUAUACAAGUCAGAGGUGAAAUCCCGGAGCUUAACUCCGGAACUGCCUUUGAAACUGUAUAGCUGGAGUGUGUGAGGGGAUAGCGGAAUUCCUAAUGUAGAGGUGAAAUUCGUAGAUAUUAGGAGGAACACCGGUGGCGAAGGCGGCUAUCUGGCACACAACUGACGCUGAGGCGCGAAAGCGUGGGGAUCAAACAGG
rnacentral:rRNA from 1 species